CAAAGUCACCAGGAUCAUUAGUCCGGUGGCGGUCCGGCUCAAGCUUCCUCCGGCGUAUAGGAGAAUUCAUCCUACCUUUCAUGUGUCUAAAAUAAAACCUGUGUUUCAGGCACGCAUUAACCCGCCGGUCCCGGUUCCCCGCCGCCACGACUUGUUGAUGGGGAAACAACCUUUUCUGUCAAUCGUAUUUUGGACUCUAGAAGGAGGGGACGCGGAUUCCAGUACCUGGUGGACUGGGAGGGUUACGGCCCGGAGGAGAGAAGUUGGGUGCCUGCUAGGGACAUUCUGGAUCACUCCCUUAUCGAUGAUUUCAAUCGACAGAUCGUUGUUUCUUCCCUGAGGUUGUGUCGUGUGUCCGUGCUCUUCUCUUGUGUGGAUUAUCUGCUGUGCUCCUUCCUACUCAUCCGGACACACUCCCCUGGUUUUCUCAGCACGCUAUCAUCGGAAGAUGCGCCCGAGUCCCUGGGUCGGAUUCCGUCUGAGUACAGUCUGUCUGUCCUGUUGCUGCUGUGAACUAUAUUCAUUAAACCAUCGUUGCUUGCAUCUUG